rnacentral:rRNA from 1 species
GAUGAACGCUGGCGGCGUGCCUAAUACAUGCAAGUCGAGCGAACGGACGAGAAGCUUGCUUCUCUGAUGUUAGCGGCGGACGGGUGAGUAACACGUGGAUAACCUACCUAUAAGACUGGGAUAACUUCGGGAAACCGGAGCUAAUACCGGAUAAUAUUUUGAACCGCAUGGUCCAAAAGUGAAAGACGGUCUUGCUGUCACUUAUAGAUGGAUCCGCGCUGCAUUAGCUAGUUGGUAAGGUAACGGCUUACCAAGGCAACGAUGCAUAGCCGACCUGAGAGGGUGAUCGGCCACACUGGAACUGAGACACGGUCCAGACUCCUACGGGAGGCAGCAGUAGGGAAUCUUCCGCAAUGGGCGAAAGCCUGACGGAGCAACGCCGCGUGAGUGAUGAAGGUCUUCGGAUCGUAAAACUCUGUUAUUAGGGAAGAACAUAUGUGUAAGUAACUGUGCACAUCUUGACGGUACCUAAUCAGAAAGCCACGGCUAACUACGU